UACGAAGGGGGCUAGCGUUGCUCGGAAUUACUGGGCGUAAAGGGCGCGUAGGCGGAUGUUUAAGUCGGGGGCGAAAGCCCGGGGCUCAACCUCGGAAUUGCCUUCGAUACUGGACAUCUUGAGUACGGGAGAGGUGAGUGGAACUCCGAGUGUAGAGGUGAAAUUCGUAGAUAUUCGGAAGAACACCAGUGGCGAAGGCGACUCACUGGCCCGUUACUGACGCUGAGGCGCGAAAGCGUGGGGAGCAAACAGG
rnacentral:rRNA from 1 species